AUUGAACGCUGGCGGCAGGCCUAACACAUGCAAGUCGAACGAGUGGCGGACGGGUGAGUAAUGUCUGGGAAACUGCCUGAUGGAGGGGGUUAACUACUGGAAACGGUAGCUAAUACCGCAUAUCAUCGGAUGUGCCCAGAUGGGAUUAGCUAGUAGGUGGGGUAACGGCUCACCUAGGCGACGAUCCCUAUCUGGUCUGAGAGGAUGACCAGCCACACUGGAACUAAGACACGGUCCCGACUCCUACGGGCGGCGGCAGAGGGGAAUAUUGCACAAUGGGCGCAAGCCUAAUGCAGCCAUGCCGCGUGUAUGAGAAAGGCCUUCGGGUUGUAAGGUACUUUCAGCGGGGAGGCGUUACCCGCAGAGGAAGCGCCGGCUAACUCCGUGCCAGCAGCCGCGGUAAUAC
rnacentral:rRNA from 1 species